rnacentral:rRNA from 1 species
UACGUAGGGGGCUAGCGUUGUCCGGAAUCAUUGGGCGUAAAGAGCGUGUAGGCGGCCCGGUAAGUCCGCUGUGAAAGUCGGGGGCUCAACCCUCGGAUGCCGGUGGAUACUGUCGGGCUCGAGUACGGAAGAGGCGAGUGGAAUUCCUGGUGUAGCGGUGAAAUGCGCAGAUAUCAGGAGGAACACCUAUGCGAAGGCAGCUCGCUGGGACGUUACUGACGCUGAGACGCGAAAGCGUGGGGAGCAAACAGG